rnacentral:rRNA from 1 species
GGCUCAGAUUGAACGCUGGCGGCAGGCCUAACACAUGCAAGUCGAGCGAGAAAGCACUUCGGUGUGAGUAGAGCGGCGGACGGGUGAGUAACACGUAGGAAUUUGCCCAGUAGUGGGGGACAACAUGUGGAAACGCAUGCUAAUACCGCAUACGCCCUAAGGGGGAAAGCAGGGGAUCUUCGGACCUUGCGCUAUUGGAUAAGCCUGCGUCGGAUUAGCUAGUUGGUGGGGUAAAGGCUCACCAAGGCGACGAUCCGUAGCUGGUCUGAGAGGAUGAUCAGCCACACUGGGACUGAGACACGGCCCAGACUCCUACGGGAGGCAGCAGUGGGGAAUAUUGGACAAUGGGCGCAAGCCUGAUCCAGCCAUGCCGCGUGUGUGAAGAAGGCUUUCGGGUUGUAAAGCACUUUCAGCGAGGAGGAAAGGUUGCAAAUUAAUACUUUGUAGCUGUGACGUUACUCGCAGAAGAAGGACCGGCUAACUCCGUGCCAGCAGCCGCGGUAAUACGGAGGGUCCGAGCGUUAAUCGGAAUUACUGGGCGUAAAGCGCGCGUAGGCGGCCUGAUAAGUUGGAUGUGAAAGCCCUGGGCUCAACCUAGGAACUGCAUUCAAAACUGUCAGGCUUGAGUACGAGAGAGGAGGGUGGAAUUUCAGGUGUAGCGGUGAAAUGCGUAGAGAUCUGAAGGAACACCAGUGGCGAAGGCGGCUCUCUGGACCAACACUGACGCUGAGGUGCGAAAGCGUGGGUAGCAAACGGGAUUAGAUACCCCGGUAGUCCACGCCGUAAACGAUGUCAACUAGCCGUUGGACUCCUUGAGGGUUUAGUGGCGCAGCUAAAGCAAUAAGUUGACCGCCUGGGGAGUACGGCCGGCAAGGCUAAAACUCAAUGAAUUGACGGGGGCCCGCACAAGCGGUGGAGCAUGUGGUUUAAUUCGAUGCAACGCGAAGAACCUUACCUACCCUUGACAUCCAGAGAACUUUCCAGAGAUGGAUUGGUGCCUUCGGAACUCUGUGACAGGUGCUGCAUGGCUGUCGUCAGCUCGUGUUGUGAAAUGUUGGGUUAAGUCCCGUAACGAGCGCAACCCUUAUCCUUAUUUGCCAGCACUUCGGGUGGGAACUCUAAGGAGACUGCCGGUGACAAACCGGAGGAAGGUGGGGACGACGUCAAGUCAUCAUGGCCCUUACGACUGGGCUACACACGUGCUACAAUGGCGAGAACAGAGGGCCGCGAAGCCGCGAGGUGAAGCUAAUCCCAGAAAACUCGUCGUAGUCCGGAUUGGAGUCUGCAACUCGACUCCAUGAAGUCGGAAUCGCUAGCAAUCGCGAAUCAGAAUGUCGCGGAGAAUACGUUCCCGGGCCUUGUACACACCGCCCGUCACACCAUGGGAGUGGAUUGCACCAGAAGUAGCUAGCUUAACUGCGGGAGGACGAUUACCACGGUGUGGUUCAUGACUGGGGUGAAGUCGUAACAAGGUAGCCGUAGGGGAACCUG